rfam:Myotis lucifugus cont2.50008, whole genome shotgun sequence.
GGCCAGGUGGCUCAGUUGGUUGGAGCGUCAUCCCAUGCACUAAAAGGUUGCGGGUUAGAUUCCCUUCCCGGUCA